AGAUCGUUUUGAGGGAAGUUUCUCAACAAACCCUUAUAUCGCUCCCACGCCUCCUACAAUGACUCACCCACUUGUUGCUCGAAAUUUGAAAUGGCAUUCUUCAACUU